AGAGUUUGAUCCUGGCUCAGGAUGAACGCUAGCGGGAGGCUUAACACAUGCAAGUCGAGCGGGAUUAGCAGCAAUGCUAUGAGAGCGGCGGACGGGUGCGUAACGCGUAUGCAACCUGCCUUAUACAGGGGAAUAGCCCAUGGAAACGUGGAUUAAAGUCCCAUAGAAUCAUGAUAUCGCAUGGUAUUAUGAUUAAAACUGAGGUGGUAUAAGAUGGGCAUGCGUCUGAUUAGGUAGUUGGUGAGGUAACGGCUCACCAAGGCGACGAUGCGUAGCCGACCUGAGAGGGUGAUCGGCCACAUUGGAACUGAGACACGGUCCAGACUCCUACGGGAGGCAGCAGUGGGGAAUAUUGCGCAAUGGGGGAAACCCUGACGCAGCAACGCCGCGUGAAUGAUGAAGGCCUUCGGGUUGUAAAGUUCUGUCUUCUGGGACGAUAAUGACGGUACCAGAGGAGGAAGCCACGGCUAACUACGUGCCAGCAGCCGCGGUAA
rnacentral:rRNA from 1 species